rnacentral:rRNA from 1 species
UACGUAGGCGGGAAAUUAAGUCAGUAGUGAAAUCCCACAGCUUAACUGUGGAGCUGUUAUUGAUACUGGUUUUCUUGAAUAUAGUUGAGGUAGGCGGAAUGUGUAAUGUAGCGGUGAAAUGCUUAGAUAUUACACAGAACACCGAUUGCGAAGGCAGCUUACUAAGCUAUGAUUGACGCUGAGGUACGAAAGCGUGGGGAGCGAACAGGAUUAGAUACCCUGGUAGUCC